rnacentral:lncRNA from 1 species
CCGAGCUUUGAUGAAUGAAUCUACAAGCUCAGCAAAAAAAAUUAUAGAAUUUUUAGGUAGAAGAGAGUACCAUGUGAUCAAUCUGUUAGUGAGUGUUUCGCCAAAUUUCUUAACUAAUAUAAAUUUAAUUUCCUGCUUAGUUAACUCGUUGCCUUUUACUCCUGUUGUAAAUGCAGUCACGUGGUCUCGUGGGUAUGAUGUUCCAU